UACGUAGGGGCCUAGCGUUGUCCGGAAUUAUUGGGCGUAAAGAGCUCGUAGGCGGUUCGGCAAGUCGGAUGUGAAAUCUCCACGCUUAACGUGGAGGGGCCAUUCGAAACUGCUGUGACUCGAGUCCGGUAGGGGAGUGUGGAAUUCCCGGUGUAGCGGUGAAAUGCGCAGAUAUCAGGAAGAACACCCGUGGCGAAGGCGGCUCUCUGGGACGGUACUGACGCUGAGACGCGAAAGCGUGGGGAGCAAACAGG
rnacentral:rRNA from 1 species